rnacentral:rRNA from 1 species
AUUGAACGCUGGCGGCAUGCCUUACACAUGCAAGUCGAACGGUAACGGGCCUUCGGGUGCCGACGAGUGGCGAACGGGUGAGUAAUACAUCGGAACGUGCCCGAUCGUGGGGGAUAACGAGGCGAAAGCUUUGCUAAUACCGCAUACGAUCUACGGAUGAAAGCCGGGGACCGCAAGGCCUUGCGCGGACGGAGCGGCCGAUGGUAGAUUAGGUAGUUGGUGGGAUAAAAGCUUACCAAGCCGACGAUCUGUAGCUGGUCUGAGAGGAUGAUCAGCCACACUGGGACUGAGACACGGCCCAGACUCCUACGGGAGGCAGCAGUGGGGAAUUUUGGACAAUGGGCGCAAGCCUGAUCCAGCCAUGCCGCGUGCAGGAUAAAGGCCUUCGGGUUGUAAACUGCUUUUGUACGGAACGAAAAGCCUUCUUUUAAUACAGGAGGGUCAUGACGGUACCGUAAGAAUAAGCACCGGCUAACUACGUG